CAACUUUUUCCUCAUUACAAAAUUAAGCCAUUUCAUAACAACACAUUUGAAAAAGAAAAGCACAGUGAAUACAACAAAAAUGAUCAAUACUUUAAAUGGACUGGGGGGUGGGGAACAGUAAGUUGUUAUUUUAGAGGCGUCUGUUGUAAACAUUGCUCAGAACACAUCAUAAGGGAUCUUCCCACUGGUUGUUAUCACGAGAGGUCAGAUGUUCGCGUGUUGGUGUGGCUUCAAGCAGGGGACUUGUUGGAGCUGAGCAAACACAACCGGCAAAGCACAAGGGGCAGGUUCGGGCCUCUGAAAUACUCAUGCAACAGAUACCUGAGCCUGUGAUAACCCUGAGGAAACUGCCCUCCACUGCAGACUAUGAGACUGUAGGCUGUUCAUCGAGAUGACUGGGCUGUUUGGCCUCUAAGGCCUUCACAGCCCUGACUGCCCUUACUCUUCACGUUAAUCCUCUGAGGUGCGGGCAGGCCAUGGAAAGCCAGGCCUCUUGGGACUCUCGAAGGAGUGGAAGCUAAAAACCCUGUGGCAGGUGAGGCUGGCUCCCUGGCGAGGAGGGAAGAUUCCCUCUGGCAGUGGUCCCAACCUCCCAACCUGACUUCAGAAGACAAUCAGGAGAGAAGUACUGACCACCUGCCCCAGGGGGCACAGCCGCGGGAGCAGUGCCCUAUUCUACCAUCAGGAGCCUCUUAACUGGACUUCUUGGCUGAAGAGCAGCUGUGCUCACCUGUGAAGUGGAGAUACUCAUUUCAAUUGAGCAGCUUGUUACAAGCAUGAAAUAAAACAAUCCUUGUAAAGCCCUUAGCUCUGGGUCUGGCCUUCAGCUACAGCCUGGUCAGCAGUAACUACUAAUGCUGCUGGAAAGACAGAAGCAGCAACAGGGAAAGAGGGCUUGGGAGGCAGAUCUGACUUCAAUGUCUAGAAGGGCUUUCUACCAGCGCUGCCCCAGGCACCUUGGAAAUUGGUGAGCUCCAUGUUCCUGAAAGCAUUCAAGCAGUCAGUGAUGGCUGAUGGGACCGGGAUAAAGGGUCACGCAGGGGACUACAGGGCUGGAUUUCAUCAUCUCAGGCCAGUAGCCACGUUCCCUUAUAAAGGAAAAGAGGAAAAUUCCUCCCACAGCACUGCCGGCAGGAAAAGGGGAGCAUGGGUAGAAGGGCAGGCCAGCUCUGCCUGAACCCCACGCUUAGUGGGGGCCAUGGAGAAAUGCCUCCUCUGAAGUUGACCUAAGGGCUGCUGAGCAUACAAGCCCACCGUGUAAAGCCCCUAGAUGAGAAAAAAGCUCUCAAUAAAUGUUCCUUUUCCUCUCCCUGACCUUCCAACGUCCUCCU